rnacentral:rRNA from 1 species
AUGAUCCUCAAAUAUUAUGGUACAUAUGACUCCAUGAGUGAAGGAGAAAUGGAAGCACUUGAGCAAGUGGCCAUGCACCGGCAAGUGAACGAUGAUGAAGAGGAUCAAGUCUUCUGUGACAAAGAUUCAAGCCCCGCUCUCGUUGUUUCCAAGGUCUUGACUCUUCAACAUCAACAAGAAGAAGACAAAAGAUGCCAUAUCUUUCAUACUAAGGCCGACAUCAAUGGAAGAUCUGUCAAGGUAAUCAUCGAUGGAGGGAGUUGCCAUAACUUAGCAAGUGAAGAACUAUGCUCCAAGCUCCAAUUGGUCAAGAUGAAGCACCCACAUCCCUACAAAGUUCAAUGGCUUCGCGACUCCGGCACAAUCCAACUCGAACAUAGAGUGCAAGUCUCCUUCAAAAUCGGAGCUUACGAAGACACUUUGGAGUGUGAUGUCGUUCCAAUGACCGUUUGCCACCUUCUUCUUGGGCAACCAUGGCAAUUUGAUCGAGGUGUCAUCCACAACGGCCGUACGAAUCACUAUAUCUUCAAGAUGAAAGGAAAGUAG